rnacentral:piRNA from 1 species
UUCAAAGUUUCUCUGUUUGCG